CCCUUAGAUGUCCUGGGCUGCACGCGUGCUACAAUGAUACGUUCAACGAGUUCAUCCUGCUUUGUAAAAAGUGGGUAAUCUUAUGAAUGCGUAUCGUGCUUGGGAUUGACCAUUGUAAUUAUUGGUCAUGAACGAGGAAUUCCUAGUAAGCACAAGUCAUCAACUUGUGCUGAUUACGUCCCUGCCCUUUGUACACACCGCCCGUCGCUCCUACCGAUUGAGUGCUCCGGUGAAUUAUUCGGACUGCUACAGUUAUCUGUAACGGAAAGUCUUGUGAACCUUAGCACUUAGAGGAAGGAAAAGUCGUAACA
rnacentral:rRNA from 1 species